rnacentral:rRNA from 1 species
AUUGAACGCUGGCGGUAGGCCUAACACAUGCAAGUCGAACGGCAGCACAGGAGAGCUUGCUCUCUGGGUGGCGAGUGGCGGACGGGUGAGGAAUACAUCGGAAUCUACUUUUUCGUGGGGGAUAACGUAGGGAAACUUACGCUAAUACCGCAUACGACCUACGGGUGAAAGCAGGGGACCUUCGGGCCUUGCGCGAUUGAAUGAGCCGAUGUCGGAUUAGCUAGUUGGCGGGGUAAAGGCCCACCAAGGCGACGAUCCGUAGCUGGUCUGAGAGGAUGAUCAGCCACACUGGAACUGAGACACGGUCCAGACUCCUACGGGAGGCAGCAGUGGGGAAUAUUGGACAAUGGGCGCAAGCCUGAUCCAGCCAUACCGCGUGGGUGAAGAAGGCCUUCGGGUUGUAAAGCCCUUUUGUUGGAAAGAAAUCCAGCUGGCUAAUACCCGGUUGGGAUGACGGUACCCAAAGAAUAAGCACCGGCUAACUUCGUGCCAGCCGCCGCGGUAA